rnacentral:rRNA from 1 species
CGGGAAUUUUGCGCAAUGGGCGAAAGCCUGACGCAGCAACGCCGCGUGAGGGAUGACGGCCUUCGGGUUGUAAACCUCUUUUCUCAGGGAAGAUGAUGACGGUACCUGAGGAAUAAGCCACGGCUAACUACGUGCCAGCAGCCGCGGUAAUACGUAGGUGGCAAGCGUUGUUCGGAUUUACUGGGCGUAAAGGGCGCGUAGGCGGCCACCGCAAGUCGACUGUGAAAUCUCCGGGCUUAACCCGGAAAGGUCAGCCGAUACUGCGGGGCUAGAGUGCAGAAGGGGCAACUGGAAUUCUCGGUGUAGCGGUGAAAUGCGUAGAUAUCGAGAGGAACACCUGCGGCGAAGGCGGGUUGCUGGGCUGAGACUGACGCUGAUGCGCGAAAGCUAGGGGAGCGAAC